UUCACCACCGAUGAUGAAAAUACUUCUUUCCCCGUCAUAUUAAUACAUGAUGAUACAACUACAAGCUCAACAGAUCUGAGGUGGUGAA